ACAACAUAGUUAGGAAAAGGCUAGGACGACGAAGAAAAUUUAAUUCAGACAUGGAUAAUAUUAUAGAUCCCAAACAUUUUUUGAGUGGGUGAUCAUGUAUCGCUGGUGCGCGAGGCGCUUUGCCUCGCGUGUUCAGCCACCUCCUUUGACAGACUGACUGUUAUGUGUCUGAGUUUAAAUUUAUUUCCAAAAAGUGUGUUUGAAUUCAACUACUUUAUCUCUUGACAUGUUUUAUUAACUCUGCAAUGCAAACUAGAAUUUAGUUCUAAACAUUUUUUUUUAGGGGUCCGUACCCCAGUGGUGAAAACGAAACCAUUAGUAAGGCUCCGCUGAGUGUCCUUAAUAGACAGUGUAAAUGAUGUUUUCUGUUGCCUAAAGUAAUAAAGACCCAGAAAAAGCAACGAUUAACAGACUAAUACAGUAUUAAGUUUAAUCGGCGACCAGUUCUUACAAAUUUAUUUUACCCUAUUUGCACGGAACCACAUUUGUCAAAUACGCAUUUGACCGGUUUUUCUUAAUUUUGAAUUAACUAUAAAAGACACAUAUUCGAUGUAUAAUCCAUUCGUCGAAAAGCCGUCUACGAAACAAUUUCAAACAUGAGAGCUGCUGUCAUUGUCUUGGGGUUUUUUGUUAUAUCACUAUCAACGGUGACAGACGGGCAGGUACAAAUACCAAACCUAAAUUUAAACUUACGAGAUCUUCUUGCUAGUUUACUGAACACACCUCAGCAUACCACUCCAAGCGAUGCCGCUAAUACUACAAGUGAACCCUCGGAUCUUUAUACUUCUAUAUUAGAUGGUAAUUUGAUAAACUUUGCUAUUGAAAAUAUUAAUGUAAAUACGUCGCAUAUUCUUGAUUGAGACUAUAUGCAAUGUGAUAUUUAAUUUUCUUAUAAAAGAGAAUACAAUAAAUUGCAUUGAAGGAUA